rnacentral:rRNA from 1 species
AUUGAACGCUGGCGGCAGGCUUAACACAUGCAAGUCGAACGAGUGGCGGACGUGUGAGUAAUGCUUCUGCAUCUUGCUUAUGGAGGGGGUUAACUACGGGAAACUGUAGCUAAUACCGCCUACCAGAGGAUGAGCCCAAGUGGGAUUAUGUAGUUGGUGAGGUAAAGGCUCACCAAGCCGACGAUCUCUAGCUGGUCUGAGAGGAUGACCAGCCACACUGGGACUGAGACACGGCCCAGACUCCUACGGGAGGCAGCAGUGGGGAAUAUUGCGCAAUGGGGGCAACCCUGACGCAGCCAUGCCGCGUGAAUGAAGAAGGCCUUCGGAUUGUAAAGUACUUUCAGUCGGGAGGCGUUACCGACAGAAGAAGCACCGGCUAACUCCGUGCCAGCAGCCGCGGUAAUAC